UCAACCCCAAAAAUAGAUAGUGUAUUAAUUCAUUUUUGCUAGUCUUCACUCUUUGGUAAUAUAAUCUGAUGUGAAUUUUUUGUUUUCUUAUAAAAAGGAAGUGCUUUGUUUUAAGUUUCCUUUCUCCAGUUUCCUUCUUCUUCUUCUUCAUAUAUACAUCUUUGAACUUUCAGUCCAAACUCCGGCGAAAAUUAGUCGAGUACUCGAAUUCCUUCAAAGGAUCCGACGAGUCGGUUUUGUUCGAGGUUCUGGUUUAAAAGAAGAUCGUAGGUUCUGACUUCUAGUCCAGUUUCCGGCGAGUUUAUCGACGCUGCAUUCCUUUGCACGAGUUUCUUCAUAUAAUUACAAAUCUGAAAUUGCUUCACUUAAGGAGUAUUGAAAAAUAAGCCAAAAUGAUGAAAUUUGACUCAAGAAGGAGUAUUGUUGGACAAGGACUAAAACCAAGCAAAAAGGACAAAAUGCGGACCACAGAAUUCUGCCGCGGCAGCAGAUCACGAAGAACCUCUGUCAGAAAAACUUUACAAAGUGCGGACCGCACAAUAAUUAUGCGGCCACAGAUGUUGAAGAUCAGAGAGUUCCCAGUCUUAGUCCAUCAAGAAGUGCGGACUGCACUAUAAUUGUGCGGUCGCAGAACUUAAGAGUGCGGCCACACUCAGAAAUGUGGGGUCCGCAGAAUUGAAGAAGUGCAGCCGCAAUGCAGAAUUGUGCGGCUGCAGAAGUCCCUCCUAUCAAGACCUGCAUCAAAGUGCGGACCGCACACUGAAUUGUGCUGCUGCAGAAGUCCCUCCUGUCAAGACCUGCAUCAAAGUGCGGACCGCACACUAAAUUGUGUGGCCGCAGAACCUCAGAAAAGGCAAUUUUGUCCAAAAAUUUCAGCUGUGCAUAAAUAGUCUUUUUUGACGAAUUUAGGUUAAGUUUGAACUUCAGAAAAUAGAUUGUCGUUUUUA